rnacentral:rRNA from 1 species
UACGGGGGGGGCAAGCGUUGUUCGGAAUUACUGGGCGUAAAGGGCUCGUAGGUGGCCAACUAAGUCAGACGUGAAAUCCCUCAGCUUAACUGGGGAACUGCGUCUGAUACUGGAUGGCUUGAGUUUGGGAGAGGGAUGCGGAAUUCCAGGUGUAGCGGUGAAAUGCGUAGAUAUCGGGAGGAACACCGAUGGCGAAGGCAGGUCUCUGGGCAUUAACUGACGCUGAGGAGCGAAAGCAUGGGGAGCGAACAGG